UACGUAGGGUGCAAGCGUUGUCCGGAAUUAUUGGGCGUAAAGAGCUCGUAGGCGGUUUGGUAAGUCAGGUGUGAAAUCUCCACGCUCAACGUGGAGGGGCCACCUGAUACUGCCAUGGCUGGAGUCCGGUAGAGGAGUGUGGAAUUCCCGGUGUAGCGGUGAAAUGCGCAGAUAUCGGGAGGAACACCCGUAGCGAAGGCGGCACUCUGGGCCGGUACUGACGCUGAGGAGCGAAAGCGUGGGGAGCAAACAGG
rnacentral:rRNA from 1 species